ensembl:lncRNA
AAAAGCUUCCUGUGCUUUAUUUGCAAGCUGAGCCACUCAGAGACUGGCACAUGGAAUAAUACAGUGAUCUGAAUGAGACCAUGGGCAUCUGUGAGCCUCAGUUGGUGUUGCUAAACUGUCUAACAAACGCUUUUGGCGUACAAAACAGGCAUUUUGUGAGUAUGAUGAAGUUGCCAAGUCGUAAGGGGAAGGGGUGAGAAAAAUAGGCUACAGAAAAAAACGACGUCAUCAUGAGACACUGCAACAUUGUAGCAAAGAAUAAUAAACGCGCUGCGUGUCAAAGAACUGCGUUGACACACGACAGUGAAGAAGGCCCUCUCACUCACCCGCGGAUCAUAUAGCGGGACAAGCCUCAUGAUGACCGUGGGUUAAUAGUGAUUAAUGACAGCUAAGGUUAUUAAACAACUUUAACACUUGGAAUGAAAGUCAAAUUCUACAGCAAUGAGUUCUAGACUGAGCUCUGAGGUGAGAUAUAUUAUAACUUUUAAGGUCUUCUGAUUAAGAAACUAAUCGUAGAAGCUGUAUAGUAAAGGGUAAACUGUCACAGUUAGUGUGAAGUUACAUUGUCAGUACGUCUUUUGUGUUUAUAUUGAUAAUGGUGCUUGUUUAUGUCUGAGAGGAGUAGAGAGGUUCGGGGAGGGGAGUCUGCUCAUUAUGUAACUACCGUUUAGAAAUGUGUUUUCGUGCUCAGCUUUCUGGGCUAGACAUUCCUACGUUUCCGUUCGGAUUCGGUUAGACAACACAGCGAGAGCAGAUCGCAGAGGACAACAUAGAGAAACAACGUGCGCGUCCUCAUCCUGUAGUAUCGCAUGCCGCACAUGUGGAGGGUCCAACAAGUGUUUUAAAGAAGAGAAUGACUUUGUUACAAGCAUUCAGGUCUCAUGGAAAACAGUGGCGUUUAUGUAAAGGUAGGCUACUGUGUGAUACUUGUAAUAUAUUAACUUGACAAGUUUCAGGGUGACAUUGUUAAGAGGAAACUUGUUCUUUCAGGUUUAAGUCUAUAUUUUUCAGUCAUGCCGAUCAUGAAGGAAUAGUUCACCCAAAAAUGAAAAUUCUGUCAACAUUUACAUUCCAAACCUGUAUGAUUUUCUUUUUUCUGUGUAACACAAAAGAAGAUAUUUUGUAGAAUGUUGAUAACUAAACAAGUCAAUGGGAACAAAUCUGUUUAGUUAUCAACAUUCUACAAAAUAUCUUCUUUUUGCCUUUUGCAGAUGAAAGAAAGUCAAACAGGUUUAGAAUGAGAUGUGAGUGAAUAAAUGAAUGACAAAAUUUUCA